rnacentral:rRNA from 1 species
GAUGAACGCUAGCGGCAGGCUUAACACAUGCAAGUCGAGGGGUAACAGGGUGCUUGCACCGCUGACGACCGGCGCACGGGUGCGUAACGCGUAUACAAUCUACCUUAUACUAAGGUAUAGCCCAGAGAAAUUUGGAUUAAUCCCUUAUAGUCUAUAGAUAUGGCAUCAUAUUUAUAGUAAAGGUUACGGUAUAAGAUGAGUAUGCGUCCUAUUAGUUAGUUGGUGUGGUAACGGCACACCAAGACUACGAUAGGUAGGGGCCCUGAGAGGGGGAUCCCCCACACUGGUACUGAGACACGGACCAGACUCCUACGGGAGGCAGCAGUGAGGAAUAUUGGACAAUGGGCGAGAGCCUGAUCCAGCCAUGCCGCGUGCAGGAAGACGGCCCUAUGGGUUGUAAACUGCUUUUAUACGGGAAGAAACUCUCCGACGUGUCGGAGCU